rnacentral:ncRNA from 1 species
AUUGAGAGGACCUUUCCCUAGUACGAGAGGACCGGGAAGGAUGCACCUCUGGUGUACCAGUUAUUGUGCCCACGGUAUAUGCUGGGUAGCCAAGUGCAGAGCAAAUAACUACUGAAAUCAUAUAAGUAGGAAGCCCACCCCAAGAUGAGUUCUCUCCUAUUCUUACUUCCCUGAGAGCCUUAGUCGCGAACACGGCUGGGACAACAAUGGGUUCUCUGUCCUUGCAGGGGAUGGAGCGACAAAAGUAUUGAGAAUCCAAGAUAAGGUCACGGCGAGACAAGCCGUUUAUCAUUAUGAUAGGUGUCAAGUGGAAGUGCAGUGAUGUAUGCAGCUGAGGCAUCCUAACAGACUGAGAUAUUUGAACCU